rnacentral:lncRNA from 1 species
GGAUACACGGGAUACACGGUACUACUUAUGAAAUAUUCCUGGGAAAAAAAGAAUGUAUGUUUAAAUAUUUUUAAAGAAUAUUUUGUUUAUUUGAGAGAGACAGAGACAGCACAAGGGGGGGAGGGGCAGAGAGAGAGAGAGAGAGAGAGAGGGAACCCCAAGCAGGCUCUGCACUGUCAGUGCGGAACCCCACGCGGGGCCCAAACCCACGAAACCGUGAGAUCAUGAUCUGAAUCGGAACCAAGAGUCAUAUGUUCAACUAACUGAGCCACCCAGGUGCCCCUAAAAAUAAAUGUAUGUUUAAUCAAACUUCUAAAUAUAAUUAGAGGGGACAGAGGACCACGUGAAUUGUCACGACAGGGACACACUCAACUGAAUCUAGAACAUGGGGAACCUGACAGGGAAAUAACCCAGUUUCUUUUAAUAUUCUUUUUUUUUUUUAAUGUUUAUUUAUUUUUUUGAGAGAGAGACAGAGACAGAGCAUGAGCGGGGGAGGGGCAGAGAGAGAGGGAGACACAGAAUCCGAAGCAGGCUCCAGGCUCCGGCUGUAGGCAGAGAGCCCAAUAUCGAGCUCGAACCCACGAGCCCUGAGAUCAUGACCUGAGCCGAAGUCGGACGCGUAACUAACCGAGCCACCCAGGUGUCCUAAGUAUGGUUCUUUUUCAAAGUCAUCCUACGUUAGAAAUACAUAGUGAACACGUACAGGUGAUUUGCUUUGAAAUACUCCAGCAGACAUGAACACAAGUGAGGGAAUUCGUGGAACAGGAAAGAAUUUGGGGAUGGUCAAGCCAGAUGAUGAAGGGUUCCAAUGUUCUAUUUUUUGUGUAUGUUUGAAGUUCUCAAAAAAAAAAAGUAGCAGCAGCACGGAGAGUAGUUGUAGAAAUGAGCGGUCAUGGGUAUGCAUUUUCCGCGCGGGAAAGAACAAAGCGGUGCUGGGCCCAGCGUCUUGGCUUUCUGACUCCAUGACAGGCCAGAACUUAGAAAAGCCAGAAGGGCCCUGGAGGAGUGGAUGACUGCUAGCAUGUUCCAGAAUCUAGGCUGUCCUCCCCGGUGCUUGUGGUGAGGCUGCUGCCAGGUGCUGAACAAUUAAUUAGUUGCAAUUUUAGUCUAGGCCCGAGUAGGGUUGCUCUCUCCUGCCCCCUUGUGGUUGAGCGAGGUCUGUAACUAGUUCUAGACAAACAGCUGUGAACAGAAAGGGACAGGUGUCUCUCUGGGCAGCGAUGGCUAAUUGCAGAGACAAGACCCUCCAGAGCUCUUUUUAUCUUCUCCUCCUGGUGUGGGGACUGGCGGCAUUUGAGAUAGCGGCGGCUCUAGCAGCCUGGGUCCCUGAAUAAGAAAAUGAGAAGAGCCCCCUUGUUUGACCACCAUGCACAGGUAGCCUAAGGGAGAAAUGAUCUUAAGUCCCUGAUACUCGGAGGUCGUUUGUUACCGCAGCAUAACCGAGCUCCUCCUGGUGAACACAGCACCAUACAGCAACCAGUCCUACAGGCUACCUGGUAAGAACCUGAAUAAUUGCUGCGGUUGUUCUGUUACUGUUAGUAUUCUUGUAAUAACAACCGUCCAUCAUCACAGGUACCAUUUACUGAGCACCUCUAUGUGCCACCCGUCGUCUCAGUUACCGAUCCCGGCAGACCCUGGAGGCAGAUCUUCCUGCCCCGUGACCAAGAUCAGAAAAGCAAAGCUUAGGAACUGCCACAAACAUUCCACUUGCUGUCUGAGAGUCAUCGAAGAUGCCGUUCAUUUGAUCAUUCGUUGUCCUUUAUAUAAAACCCCAUGAGAUGACGUCCCUUUAACAAUUACAGCCAAGAACCCUCCCGGAAAGCAGUUUUACAACAUAUAUAUCAAGCACCAUUAGAAAGUUCAUACCCUUUGCUCCAGUGGUUAGUCACUAGCCCAAGCUUGUUGCAGUGCAGUUAGAUUGCUUGAACAGUAAAAUGAAUAAACAAACGAAUUAGGCAAUUAAUUAAAAUAGUAUACAUAUUAAAGAAAAACGAAUUAAUGAGAGUUGAGCUUGUGUCUUGAGUUCCCGGUCUGUUUCCCGCAGCCGGAUGUUAAGAAUGCUCCCGGUCCAGCUCCCCGCUUCGCCUCGCGGCUGCCGGACACACAGUCCCCUCAAGGCUCAGCCCGGCAGGUGGCUGGUGGCCUUAGCUGGUGCUGGUGUUGGCCGCCUCCUCCCCGAGCACGGGUCAGCUUCCCGUCGGCGGAACAACGCUACGAGUUUCCUACACAGGGUAGGAGACUGGCAGGAUACAAACACAUUGUGAAAUAUGUGUAGGCUCAUCUUUGCUCGUUCCGUGGUGCCCAGCGGGCAGGCCUGCGGGUUUGGAGCGCUCGGGCAGAUCUGAACCACAGUCUCCGGUGGGUGCGUGGCGCCCCCGCGUGGCGCCCGGCGC